AGAAUCAACGCUGGCGGCGUGCCUAACACAUGCAAGUCGAACGAGAAAGUGGAGCAAUCCAUGAGUAAAGUGGCGCACGGGUGAGUAACACGUGACUAACCUACCUUUUAGUGGGGGAUAACCUAGGGAAACCUGGGCUAAUACCGCAUAAUACCUUCGGGUCAAAGGAGCAAUUCGCUUAAGGAGGGGGUCGCGGCCGAUUAGUUAGUUGGCGGGGUAAUGGCCCACCAAGACGAUGAUCGGUAUCC
rnacentral:rRNA from 1 species